rnacentral:rRNA from 1 species
CCUGAGAGGGUGCGUCACAGGUGCUGCAUGGCUGCCGUCAGCUCGUGUCGUGAGAUGUUGGGUUAAGUCCCGCAACGAGCGCAACCCCUGCGGUUAGUUACCCGUGUCUAACGGGACUGCCUUCGGGGGGGAAGGCGGGAUGACGUGAAGUCCGCAUGGCCCUUACGUCUGGGGCGACACACACGCUACAAUGGCGCCGACAAUGCGUCGCACCCGCGCAAGCGGAUGCUAAGUCGCCAAACGGCGCCCCAGUGCAGAUCGGGGGCUGCAACUCGCCCCCGUGAAGGCGGAGUUGCUGAGGAACCGCGUAUCAGCCAUGGCGCGGUGAAUACGUACGCCGGGCCUUGUACACACCGCCCGUCACGUCAUGGGAGUUGUCAAUGCCUGAAGUCCGCCAGCUAACCGGUUUCCGGAGGCAGCGGGCCGAGGGCAGGGGCGAGCGACUGGGACGAAGUCGUAACAAGGU